GGGCGCGCGGAGGUGGAGGCCGGGUGGGGCGGCGUCGCGGCUCCGGCGGCCUCGGCCUUGCCGGUGGGCCGGCGCCUUUCUCCCCGAGGCUUUUAGCCGCUGUGAGGGACUGUGCUUUCGGGAAUCUAAUUUUCUAUGUGUGUCUCUCCCCGCGCCGCCCGGAAGGCUUGACGUUGGAGCCCUGCUGGACAAGGCGGCCUGGGGUGGAAAUUUGCGCCCGAGGGACGCGAGCCGGACCGAGCGUUAGAGAGUGUUAGGCCGCGUACUCGGAGCCUCCUGCAGAGCGGUGCGCGCGAGGGCGGGGGGGCAGCGGAGUCGGAGGAAGGUGGGCGGGGGGCCCUCGACCCGCGAGGGUCUGCAAGAAAGUGAACCAAGCUGCGAGCCCCAGGCCUUGACCUCCUCGUCCCCCGGGAGAGGUUUCAUCCUGGUUCGUUUCUCCACGUCGUCACCUUACCUUGAACUCCAGUGGCUUCUCUGCAUGGAAGAUUUGGAGAUGUCUAGGGAAGGAAUGUGAAACCUACGUUCCAUCCCGCAGCGAUGUGACAGCUAAGAUGGGAGCCUGAGGAGAGUUUACAGGCAGGAUCUGUGGACUUAGAUCUGAAACUUGUGGAAGGCAGUACAAGGCGGUCAGGGGAAUGGAGAAAAUAAAUAGUUGCCUUAAAAAAAAAAUUUUACUCAUGGCUUUUUUACUUCUCAAACACCAAGGUAUUUUUUAAAAAGGAAUGAAAAGAGCUGCUCCAGAUAUUUUGAAAGGAUGCUAUUUUUUUUUUUUAAGAUUGACUGAUUGAUUGAUUUAAUAGAGAGACAGAGAGCACAAGCAGGCAGAGUGGUAGGCAGAGGGGAGAGGGAGAAGCAGGCUCCCGGUGGAGCAGGGAGCCAGAUGUGCUUGGAUCCAGGACCCCAGGAUCAGGACCUGAGCGGAAAGCAGACGCGUGACCAGCCGAGCCACCAGGUUCCAUGUGCAUCAUCUAGUCCUGCUGAAGGUCUGAAGUGCUUAUAAAACUCAUGACAAUGUACAGCUCCGCAUUCAGUGCUCGUGUUUGAUCCUUUCCAAAUUAAAUAUAUGCAGAUUUUCAGAGCAGCUAUAUGAAGUUAAGUACCACCAAACAUAUGUUCUACAAUAUGGCUAGUAUUUCUGUAAGUUAGUGGACUCUAUAGGGUAGUAGAAUGUGUUAUCUUUACCAGAGUCACUCAUUUCUUUUGCACUAUGUCUACCAAGGGCAGUUUAUAGAAAGAUAAUAUCUGCUAAGUAUGACUGAUGAGAUACAAAAAAAAAAAAAAUCCUUUUCAAGAAGUCAGAAAAAGGAAAACAAAAACAAAGUAAAAUGACAGAAAUAAUAUUAAGAGCAGGAAUGAAUGAAAUGAGAAACAAAAGCAAUGUGGGAGAAACCAUCUGUUACUGGCUCAGAAGAAUCAACUGUGUAUACCUCUCCCCUACUCCAUGGCCACUAACAUGAAAUUAGUGGCUUGAAAUUGUCCAUGAUGAUAAUAUUCACUCUAUGGAAAUCAACAUAUAAAAAGAAAAGGUCUUGGAUGACUUCUGAGUUGAAAAAAGAAGUAUAUUUAAAUUUUUAAGUUUAUACAUAGUGAUAAAUAUGUAAAAUAAAUAAAGUAAAACUUGACUGAGUUACAAAGAAAAAAGUAUGAUUCUGUCAGGUUACCUUAAUAAGCCUUCUCAGUGAUUUUUAAGACAAGAAAAAUCAGUAAGGAUACAGAAAAUUUGAAUAAUAUGAAUAAUAAACUUGACCUAAUGAAUAUACACAGAACACAACCAAAAUUAGAAUGUAUGUUUUUUGAAAGCAAAACAUCCCCAAAUCAACCACAUCCUUAGCUGUAAAGCAAGUCUUAAUAAAUUUUAAAGAUUGAAAUCA